GACGAGCAUCACAAACGUUAUUCGGAAUUACUGGGCUUAAAGGGUGCGUAGGCGGUGUAGCAAGUCGGGAGUGAAAUCCCACAGCUCAACUGUGGAAUUGCUUUCGAUACUGCUGUGCUUGAGUGAGACAGAGGUAAGCGGAACUUAGGGUGGAGCGGUGAAAUGCGUUGAUAUCCUAAGGAACACCGGUGGCGAAGGCGGCUUACUGGGUCUCUACUGACGCUGAUGCACGAAAGCCAGGGUAGCGAACGGG
rnacentral:rRNA from 1 species